rnacentral:tRNA from 2 species
GCCCUAGUAGCUCAGCGCAGAGAGCGUCGGU